AUGCCCCCUUGGGAGCGCUUCCGUGAGCUCUGCCUCCUUCGUUUUGGGCCACCGAUCCGUGGGAGCCGCCUAGCAGAGCUAGGCCGCCUUCCCUUCACCUCCACGGUUCAGGACUUCGCCGACCGUUUCCAGGCCCUGGCAUGCCACGCGUCGGGUGUGACAGCGCAGCAGCGGGCCGACCUCUUUGUCGGUGGACUUCCGGAUCACAUCCGCGUGGACGUGGAGCUUCGGGGACCCCAGGAUCUCCAGACGGCCAUGUACUACACCCGCGCGUUCGAGCGCCGCACGGUGGCCAUCCAACAGGCAUCACUGUCCCGGGCCGCUGGGCCGCUACCCUGGCCGGAGGUUCCCGCGCAGGGUCGGCCUGCUCAGGCUUCCGCGGCACCCCUCGCCGCGACCACAACGCGCUCGUUCCGCCGGCUCACCUCGGCCGAGCUACUCGAGCGUCGCCGCCAAGGGUUGUGCUUCAACUGCGACGAGCCCUACACGCCCGGCCACGUCUGCCCGCGGCUCUUCUACCUGGAGGCUGCAGACUACAUUGAGGAGGACGCCGUCGCCGCCGACCUGGCCGCCCCAGCUGUUGCGAAGGUGUUUGACGCUGGUUGA
rnacentral:rRNA from 1 species